GUGGUAGCUAUGCAUUUGUUCGCUAUAUUAUUUCUACCUGAGUAUAUUUUCAUAUUCUGUAUCUUAUAUAUAAUCUCUGACUAAUUCAUGUUAAUGAUUUCCUACUUUCCUUUGUGAGACGAUGCCCUUGUUUAUGUACAUUAUCAUGAAUAUUGUCCAUAUAUAUGUAUAACUUUUGAGGUUAAAAUAUCUCUUAAAACCUACAAAACACUUCAGAGCAUUACUAUUUCAUGGAUAAAUUUGACCAUGUUAUGCUGCAUAAUUGAAUUAGGAGGGUAAUGCUAUUGGGUGAUAACUGGUAAGGGUUUAUGUACCAUAUGUACAUUUCAUGAAUACAGUUAUCUGUGUAUAAGUUAGUGCAUGUCAUUUCGUGCAUACAAUCAUAGUUUAUCUGUUUACUAGCUUAUGCACAUUUGUAGCACUCCUAACUAAUAAUCCUUUUCAGGUCAUAGGCAAUGUGGCUUCAGUGAAAGGUGCCCUUCUUAUGCCAUUGAUUCCUCUUCUAAAGUACCAAAUGGUUUACUAUAUUGAAAAUAAUGUUUAGUUCUGAACUUGACAAAAAUCCAUUUAAGAAUACAGCAAUGCUAGGUGUACACAAAAAGUUAGCCACCAAAUAAGUUGCACAUAUAGAAAAUACACAUGGAAAAUGUUUGAAACAACACAUAUAUAUAUACACAAAUAUAUGUUGACUGAUUUGGAGGUUGAUUUUCAGUUUGCACAUAGUAGUUUUGUUGAACAUGCUAGCAUAUUAUCACUUCUUUUUGCCAGCUGUAAUUUCUGUUAAACACACAGAUUAAAUGAUGAAUUAUUAUUUUAUCUACACUAAACUAGCAUAAGUCCAUGAUUAUUAUUUUAUCUACACUAAACUAUUCUGAUAUCAUUUUUAUUUAUCCAGGCCAAUAAAAUGAUAAAUCUUUGAAGGAAACAUUCCUAAUUAUUAUAUUAAGGAUUGAAGUACAUAAUCUCUAACAUGAACCUUGUAAAAUGACGCAGGAAUAGACAAAACACAUUUUAGUAUUUAUUAAUUUAUUUCUUAAAAGAAUUUUAAGUGGAGCUGAAUCGCGUAUUUGUUGAGGUAUUUGUGCAUAUAAUUGGUAUCACCUAAUUUAUGCUUGUCAUGUUAUUAAUUAAUUAUUCAGCACUGUUAACAAUAUCUCUGUACUACAAAUAUAAUACUUAGCAAAACUUUUAUUUGAUGUCAGAUAUUUCUGUACUACAAAUAUAAUACUUAGCAAAAAACAUUCUUUCUAUUUUACUUGAGACUCAAAAAUGGUUGCAAAACUUGAGGGUGGAGCUUAUCUCUCCUUUUGAUGAUGCUAUUUUGAACAAGCUGUCUUCUGUCAACUCACCCCCCCAGAAGGAAUCCAGUUGACCAGAAGUUGCUUUGAAAGCUGAAAGUAGGUCUCCAUGCUGCUUGGCCUGUGCUUGAUGAUGCUGAGCAGGAGCAGAUCAGAGACCAAGAAGUGAAGAAGUGGCUUGUUGAUCUCCAAGAUGCUGUCUAUUGUCUGAUGAUUUGCUGGAUGAGCUCUCCACUAAUGCCACCACUGCCACUGCCUCUCAAAGGGAUCCAGGCAUUGGAGGAGGUGGAAAAACUACCUUGGCUCAAUUGGUUUACAAUGAUGCCAAAGUGGAGGACAAAUUUGACAUUAAAGCAUGGGUUUGUGUUUCUGACCAAUUUGACAUUGUAAUGAGGAUAAUAAAAGCAGCUAGUGCUAGUUCUUGUAAUGAGGAUGAUUUAAAUUUACUUCAAACUAGUUUCUAGGGUAAGUUAGAGGGGAAGAAAUUCUUGAUUGUUUUGUGUGAUGUGUGGAUUAAUAGUUCCAGUCAUUGGACAAUUCUUCAAAAAGAUUUUCAAUAUGGAAAAAUGGGAGGCAAGAUUCUUUUAAGUCGAAAUGAAACUGUUACUAUAGUGAAAACUAUUUCAGCUUACAAGUUGAGUUUAUUGUCAGAGAAAGAUUGCUGGUCUCUUUUUUGUAACGUGUAUUUCUUUCUCCUGAAUUGAAGUAUUAUUCAACUCUAGAACUUGUUGGCCGAAACUUGUCAAAAAGUGCCAAGGGUUACGUCUGGCCUAGAGGCACUAGUUGCCUUAUUAAGUACAACAAACAAACUAUGAUGACAGGUCACAGGGAUUGGGAUGAUGUAUUGAAAAGUGAACUUUGGGGAAUUUUUGAAGACAUAGAAUGAAAUUAUUCCGGCGUUAAGCAUUAGUUAUCAUUGUCUUCCUUCAAGUCAAGCAAUACUUUGUUUAUUGUUCUUUGUUUCCCAAAGAUUGUCAAUUCAAUAAGGAUGAGCUGAUCUUGUUAUGGAUGGCAGAAGAUCUCUUACCACCAAAAGGAGUAAAAGCUCUCACAGAAAUUGGUUGUGAAUAUUUCAAUCAGUUGGUUAUGAUGUCCUUUUUUCAGCUUUCUAGUACUGAUAACAGCUUCUGAGGAGAGCAGUAAUGAUCCCAGUCUUGUAGUCACUCAGGGCCAGAAGAAAGCAUUGUUAACUCACAACAGCUCCUCCUAGUGUAAGCAACAUGACAACCACAACCACUCUUACUAAGACAAAAGGUUCAUUGACUAGUCAAGCUAAAGUGGUUGGAGAUGAUGGAUGCUAAUUCAUUGAAACUCACAGCUGCACUAGCAUCAAGACAUUGCAUCAUCUAGUCUGCUGUGGCUGGCAGGCUAGGCUAGGUCAUUCAACUUCUACUAGGAUGAAAUCAAAGAAAAAGAAAUUUUUAAUAAUUGAUUGUUUGCCAAAGUAUUAUGCUUGUGAACUUUUGUCAUUGGGCAAAAUAAAGGAGGCUGUCAUUAAAUUUAAAAGGGGGCAUAAAUGAAUUUUGAAAAUAGGUUUAGGAGUAUAUAACCUAAAUCGAAUUUAGAGAAGAUUCAUUAUAUUGACCAAAAAGUUGGGGGUUUUGAGUUGUAAAUAGGCCGACAUAAUGGGGCUAUAUUCGUCGGGAUAGUGCAUUUACCUAAUUAAAUGAGUAGGUUUUUGCUU